rnacentral:rRNA from 1 species
AGAGUUUGAUCCUGGCUCAGAUUGAACGCUGGCGGCAGGCCUAACACAUGCAAGUCGAGCGGUAGCACAGAGAGCUUGCUCUCGGGUGACGAGCGGCGGACGGGUGAGUAAUGUCUGGGAAACUGCCUGAUGGAGGGGGAUAACUACUGGAAACGGUAGCUAAUACCGCAUAACGUCGCAAGACCAAAGAGGGGGACCUUCGGGCCUCUUGCCAUCAGAUGUGCCCAGAUGGGAUUAGCUAGUAGGUGGGGUAAUGGCUCACCUAGGCGACGAUCCCUAGCUGGUCUGAGAGGAUGACCAGCCACACUGGAACUGAGACACGGUCCAGACUCCUACGGGAGGCAGCAGUGGGGAAUAUUGCACAAUGGGCGCAAGCCUGAUGCAGCCAUGCCGCGUGUAUGAAGAAGGCCUUCGGGUUGUAAAGUACUUUCAGCGAGGAGGAAGGCAUUGUGGUUAAUAACCACAGUGAUUGACGUUACUCGCAGAAGAAGCACCGGCUAACUCCGUGCCAGCAGCCGCGGUAAUACGGAGGGUGCAAGCGUUAAUCGGAAUUACUGGGCGUAAAGCGCACGCAGGCGGUCUGUCAAGUCGGAUGUGAAAUCCCCGGGCUC